GCUGCCCAUUGAUACCUUUAAGCUAAAAAUGAGAUGAUUUUUAAACGUAAGAAAAUGUAUUAUUUGAAAAGUACUUUCAGUAGAGGUAACAGGACAGAAACAAUAAUUACCGUUAGGAUGGAGCUCUUCACAUUUCCAAAAAGAGCAAACCGAUGUGGUAGUGUUUGCAACAUGGGACAAGAUCUGAUGGCCAGGAAGUUCCAUCGGUCCUAUGUGGUGUGCUCUAGACUAACCCCAGGUUCUGGCAGCAGAGUUGCUAUGAAGCUCUGACGUGAGUAACAGGACUUUAAGGAAAAAUAGAAAGUGUCCAUCCUUGCUGGUGGCCUGAAGCCACCUGAAAAAACUGGAGGAAAAUCAGAUGAGCUCUGAUGUGAGUUGAAAAAAAUCUUCAAUCAAGAACAAAAAUCCGUUAGAUCUGCAGACCCUGAUAGACAAGAACCUGUUGCAGAGGUGGGCAGGAGCUGAGAUGUGUAACAAUGCAUUUAUAUGAAAGACGAGAACAUGAGCACAUGAACAAGGAGAAGAGUUUCAGUGCCUUGGUGAAUGCUGAAUGCCUGAGGCAUAGGCAUUGUAAACAUACCGAGUAUUGGAGCAAGUGAUAUACAGUGACUUGGAAAAACAGACAGAGACACAGAUAAAUACAAGGCAUUAAUAGAGCUGAUUGUUUGCAAGACGUGAGACAAAUAAGUGAUUUUCAGAAGAGUGAGGAGAUAGUUUUGUGUCAAAUAGCAAAUUUGCUAAGAUUGCAACUUAUGGCCAUAAAAUGCAAGCAAAAUAAAAUGCAAAAUACAAACUCAAAACCAACUGGUUUUAAUCACAUCUCAGAAAAAGAAGUCAUCAGACCAAACUUUCACUGUAAGUGUGGUCAAUAAAAUAGUUAAAAGUAUAAACUUCUGAAAAA